rnacentral:rRNA from 1 species
AGAACGAACGCUGGCGGCAGGCUUAACACAUGCAAGUCGAACGCCCCGCAAGGGGAGUGGCAGACGGGUGAGUAACGCGUGGGAAUCUACCCAAUCCUUCGGAAUAGCUCCGGGAAACUGGAAUUAAUACCGAGUACGCCCUACGGGGGAAAGAUUUAUCGGGGUUGGAUGAGCCCGCGUUGGAUUAGCUAGUUGGUGGGGUAAUGGCCUACCAAGGCGACGAUUCCGAUAGCUGGUCUGAGAGGAUGAUCAGCCACACUGGGACUGGAGACGACGGCCCAGACUCCGUACGGGAGCAGCAGGUGGGGGAAUAGUUAGGACGAAAGUCGGGGCCGACGAAAGCCUAGGAUCCCAGCCGAUGCCCGCGUGGAGUGAUAGAAGGCCCUAAGGGUUA